GAUGAACGCUAGCGGCAGGCCUAACACAUGCAAGUCGAGGGGCAGCAUAAAAAUAGCUUGCUAUUUUGGUGGCGACCGGCGCACGGGUGCGUAACGCGUAUGCAACCUACCUUAUACUGGGGGAUAGCCCGGAGAAAUUCGGAUUAAUACCCCAUAGCAUUGUGAUAUCGCAUGGUAUUAUAAUUAAAGGUUACGGUAUAAGAUGGGCAUGCGUCCUAUUAGCUAGAUGGUGAGGUAACGGCUCACCAUG
rnacentral:rRNA from 1 species